rnacentral:rRNA from 1 species
UACGUAGGGGGCGAGCGUUGUCCGGAAUGACUGGGCGUAAAGGGUGCGUAGGCGGCCUGAAGGGUCCUGGGUGAAAGGUCCCGGCUUAACCGGGGAGGGUCCCAGGAAACCGGCAGGCUAGAGGGCUGGAGAGGGUCGCGGAAUUCCCGGUGUAGCGGUGGAAUGCGUAGAUAUCGGGAAGAACACCCGUGGCGAAGGCGGCGGCCUGGACAGUACCUGACGCUGAGGCACGAAAGCUGGGGGAGCAAAC